AGAGUUUGAUCCUGGCUCAGAUUGAACGCUAGCGGGAUGCUUUACACAUGCAAGUCGAACGGCAGCACGAGAGAGCUUGCUCUCUUGGUGGCGAGUGGCGGACGGGUGAGUAAUAUAUCGGGACGUGCCCAGUAGCGGGGGAUAACUACUCGAAAGAGUGGCUAAUACCGCAUACGCCCUACGGGGGAAAGGGGGGGAUCGCAAGACCUCUCACUAUUGGAGCGGCCGAUAUCGGAUUAGCUAGUUGGUGGGGUAAAGGCUCACCAAGGCAACGAUCCGUAGCUGGUUUGAGAGGACGACCAGCCACACUGGGACUGAGACACGGCCCAGACUCCUACGGGAGGCAGCAGUGGGGAAUUUUGGACAAUGGGGGAAACCCUGAUCCAGCCAUCCCGCGUGUAUGAUGAAGGCCUUCGGAUUGUAAAGUACUUUUGGCAGAGAAGAAAAGGCACCCCCUAAUACGGGAUGCUGCUGACGGUAUCUGCAGAAUAAGCACCGGCUAACUACGUGCCAGCAGCCGCGGUAAUACGUAGGGUGCAAGCGUUAAUCGGAAUUACUGGGCGUAAAGCGUGUGUAGGCGGUUCGGAAAGAAAGAUGUGAAAUCCCAGGGCUCAACCUUGGAACUGCAUUUUUAACUGCCGAGCUAGAGUAUGUCAGAGGGGGGUAGAAUUCCACGUGUAGCAGUGAAAUGCGUAGAUAUGUGGAGGAAUACCGAUGGCGAAGGCAGCCCCCUGGGAUAAUACUGACGCUCAGACACGAAAGCGUGGGAGCAAACAGGAUUAGAUACCCUGGUAGUCCACGCCCUAAACGAUGUCAACUAGCUGUUGGGGCCGUUAGGCCUUAGUAGCGCAGCUAACGCGUGAAGUUGACCGCCUGGGGAGUACGGUCGCAAGAUUAAAACUCAAAGGAAUUGACGGGGACCCGCACAAGCGGUGGAUGAUGUGGAUUAAUUCGAUGCAACGCGAAAAACCUUACCUACCCUUGACAUGUCUGGAAUGCCGAAGAGAUUUGGCAGUGCUCGCAAGAGAACCGGAACACAGGUGCUGCAUGGCUGUCGUCAGCUCGUGUCGUGAGAUGUUGGGUUAAGUCCCGCAACGAGCGCAACCCUUGUCAUUAGUUGCUACGCAAGAGCACUCUAAUGAGACUGCCGGUGACAAACCGGAGGAAGGUGGGGAUGACGUCAAGUCCUCAUGGCCCUUAUGGGUAGGGCUUCACACGUCAUACAAUGGUCGGGACAGAGGGUCGCCAACCCGCGAGGGGGAGCCAAUCUCAGAAACCCGAUCGUAGUCCGGAUCGCAGUCUGCAACUCGACUGCGUGAAGUCGGAAUCGCUAGUAAUCGCGGAUCAGAAUGUCGCGGUGAAUACGUUCCCGGGUCUUGCACUCACCGCCCGUCAA
rnacentral:rRNA from 1 species